AGUGAACGCUGGCGGCGUGGCUUAGGCAUGCAAGUCGAGCGAGAAACUGGGCUUCGGCUCAGGAGUAAAGCGGCGAACGGGUGAGUAACGCACGGCCAACCUACCCUCGAGAUAGGGAUAACACCCCGAAAGGGGUGCUAAUACCUAAUGGACUCCGGAGACCGCAUGAUGUCUGGAGUAAAGGUAGCUAGGGCAACCUAGCCUCCGCUCGGGGAGGGGGCCAUGUCCUAUCAGCUAGUUGGUGAGGUAAUGGCUUACCAAGGCGACGACGGGUAGCCGGGCUGAGAGGCUGUCCGGCCACACUGGGACUGAGACACUGCCCAGACUCCUACGGGAGGCUGCAGUCGAGAAUCUUCCGCAAUGGGCGAAAGCCUGACGGAGCGACGCCGCGUGAGGGAUGAAGGCCUGGUUGUAAC
rnacentral:rRNA from 1 species